UUUAGGGUUCUCAAAGCGUAUUAGAGGCUUCUUUCCAAUGGCUACUAGAUGUAGUUAAGUCUUUACAGAACUGAGUGAAUGAACUGACAAUAUUAGAAAAUUACAGGACACAAGAAAUACCUCCAUUAUUAUCAGUUAAUGGCACAAGAGUCUUCAAGUGCACAUGCAGUGCAUACAAUAAUCAAAAUCAAGCCAAGCACAAAACAUGCAAAAAGUGCACAAACAUAUACAAUGAAAAACAAAAACAUUAAAAAACCCAAAAACAGCCUGUACCGUGAACAGGUGUUCUCGCUCUCCAAACCUCCAAACAGCGAUUCAAGCAAGCAAUUGAUUGGUAGUGGCGGAUGAACCUGAUUGGGCCAAGAAUGGCUAUACGGUACAUGUUGAGUGAAAUUUGGUUGGACUUGCAAAGCCUGGCUUGCCUGAGCAUAACACAACUGAAUUGGUGUUGGUCUUACUUGAAUCAUAUUGGCUGAACCAUCCAAGAAGGUCCUGCUUGCACUGAAUUCGGCUGUAUUAGCUGAACUGCCUUCAGCUGAAAUAACUGACCCGAAUUCGGUUGAACUGACUGAAUUGAAAUCGAUUGAACUAGCUUAACUGAAUUUAGCUAAACUGGUUGACCUGAAUUCGGCUGCACUAGUGGAAUCAAUCUUGCCUGAAUUGAAUUUGGCCGGCUAGGUUGUACCAAUUCUGCCAAAAAGCCACUUGGUUGAAACUGUGGUAAAGAUCAUGCCUGAGUGUUUGCUGAUACCUAUGGGUUUCCUACCAAAAUCAUUUGGCCUUGGUUUAGUUGGUCUGUAUACCCAUGCAAGUACUGAUGACCUAGCAGAAUUUUCUCCAAAUUUCCCAUGUCUAGCUAUUCUCAAAUUCUUUAACCUGAUGAAAUUCGUUGUGAACCAUAUGAUCAAUUCUGUAUCCCGAUGUUGAUA
rnacentral:lncRNA from 1 species